rnacentral:rRNA from 1 species
GACGAACGCUGGCGGCGUGCUUAACACAUGCAAGUCGAACGGAAAGGCCCUGCUUUUGUGGGGUGCUCGAGUGGCGAACGGGUGAGUAACACGUGAGUAACCUGCCCUUGACUUUGGGAUAACUUCAGGAAACUGGGGCUAAUACCGGAUAGGAGCUCCUGCUGCAUGGUGGGGGUUGGAAAGUUUCGGCGGUUGGGGAUGGACUCGCGGCUUAUCAGCUUGUUGGUGGGGUAGUGGCUUACCAAGGCUUUGACGGGUAGCCGGCCUGGGAGGGUGACCGGCCACAUUGGGACUGAGGUACGGCCCAGACUCCUACGGGAGGCAGCAGUGGGGAAUAUUGCACAAUGGGCGGAAGCCUGAUGCAGCAACGCCGCGUGCUGGAUGACGGCCUUCGGGUUGUAAACCGCUUUCGCCUGUGACGAAGCGUGAGUGACGGUAAUGGGUAAAGAAGCACCGGCUAACUACGUG